GUGGGGAAUAUUGGACAAUGGGCGAAAGCCUGAUCCAGCCAUGCCGCGUGUGUGAAGAAGGUCUUCGGAUUGUAAAGCACUUUAAGUUGGGAGGAAGGGCAGUAAGUUAAUACCUUGCUGUUUUGACGUUACCAACAGAAUAAGCACCGGCUAACUUCGUGCCAGCAGCCGCGGUAAUACGAAGGGUGCAAGCGUUAAUCGGAAUUACUGGGCGUAAAGCGCGCGUAGGUGGUUCAGCAAGUUGGAGGUGAAAUACCCGGGCUCAACCUGGGAACUGACUCCAAAACUACUGAGCUAGAGUACGGUAGAGGGUAGUGGAAUUUCCUGUGUAGCGGUGAAAUGCGUAGAUAUAGGAAGGAACACCAGUGGCGAAGGCGACUACCUGGACUGAUACUGACACUGAGGUGCGAAAGCGUGGGGAGCAAACAGGAUUAGAAACCCCUGUAGUCC
rnacentral:rRNA from 1 species